GCUGGGCGUGGUGGUGCACGCCUGUAAUCCCAGCUACUCAGGAGGUUGAGGUGGGAGAAUCGCUUGAACCCAGGAGGUGGAGGUUGCAGUGAGCCGAGAUCGCGCCACUGCACUCCAGCCUGGGUGACAGAGCGAGACUUUGUCUCAA
ensembl:misc_RNA Metazoa_SRP Metazoan signal recognition particle RNA